rnacentral:tRNA from 1 species
GAGGGUAUAGCUCAGUGGCAGAGCACAUGCUUAGCAUACAUGAGGCCCUGAGUUCAAUGCCCAGUACUUCCA